rnacentral:rRNA from 1 species
AAAGGAAUAGACGGGUCCCCGCACAAGCAGCGGAGCGUGUGGUUUAAUUCGAGGCUACGCGAAGAACCUUACCAGGGUUUGACAUGCUAGUGGUAGUGAAGCGAAAGCGGAACGACCCUUCGGGGAGCUAGCACAGGUGCUGCAUGGCUGUCGUCAGCUCGUGUCGUGAGAUGUCAGGUUAAGUCCUGUAACGAGCGCAACCCUCGUCGUUAGUUACAAGUGUCUAACGAGACUGCCCGUGAUAAGCGGGAGGAAGGUGAGGAUGAUGUCAAGUCAGCAUGGCCUUUAUAUCCUGGGCUACACACACGCUACAAUGGCCAGUACAAUGGGUUGCCAAGUCGCGAGACGGAGCCAAUCCCGCAAAGCUGGUCUCAGUUCGGAUUGCAGGCUGCAACUCGCCUGCAUGAAGUCGGAGUUGCUAGUAACCGCGCGUCAGCACAGUGCGGUGAAUACGUUCCCGGGGAUUGUACACACCGCCCGU